AUUGAACGCUGGCGGCAGGCCUAACACAUGCAAGUCGAGCGAGCGGCGGACGGGCGAGUAAUGCCUAGGAAUCUGCCUGGUAGCGGGGGAUAACGUCCGGAAACUGUAGCUAAUACCGAGUACCAUAGGAUGAGCCCAAGGUGGAUUAGGUAGUUGGUGAGGUAAAGGCUCAACAAGCCGACGACCCCUAGCUGGUGUGAGAGUAUGACCAGCCACACUGGGACGGAGACACGGCCCAGACUCCUACGGGAGGCAGCAGUGGGGAAUAUGGCGAAAUGGGGGCAACCUGACGCAGCCAUGCCGCGUGAAUGAAGAAGGCGGGCGGGUUGUAAAGGUCUUUCGGUAGCGAGGCGUUAACUACAGAAGAAGCAACGGGUAACUCCGUGCCAGCAGCCGCGGUAAUAC
rnacentral:rRNA from 1 species